rnacentral:misc_RNA from 1 species
AAAUGAGACUGUGAGGAUUCUGCAUUGAUCUUGUACACCAGUGGUUCAAAGGGGGAAACAAAAGGAAAAGAAAUAUUAGCUCAGGUACAAAAUGUUAGCAGAUGCGGGGAAUACAAUUCAGCUGAACAAUUUCUGCAGUGUCUAGUAAUUUUUUAUGUCCAUGAUCACACUUGUUUCCCCCUAAGUUCUUGUGAGAGGAAUUUGACAGAUAUGGUAUGAGUCUCAUCCUG